rnacentral:rRNA from 1 species
AAUAUUGGACAAUGGGGGCAACCCUGAUUCAGCCAUGCCGCGUGUGUGAAGAAGGUCUUCGGAUUGUAAAGCACUUUAAGUUGGGAGGAAGGGCUUUAGGCUAAUACCCUGAAGUUUUGACUUUACCUACAGAAUAAGCACCGGCUAACUCUGUCCCAGCAGCCGCGGUAAUACAGAGGGUGCAAGCGUUAUUCGGAAGUACUGGGCGUAAAUAGCGCGUAGGUGGUUCAGUAAGAUGGGUGUGAAAUCCCCGGGCUUAACCUGGGAAGUGCUUUCAUAACUGCUGAGCUAGAGUACGGUAGAGGGUAGUGGAAUUUCCUGUGUAGCGGUGAAAUGCGUAGAUAUAGGAAGGAACACCAGUGGCGAAGGCGACUACCUGGACUGAUACUGACACUGAGGUGCGAAAGCGUGGGGAACAAACA